CCUACGGGAGGCUGCAGUGGGGAAUAUUGGACAAUGGGGGGAACCCUGAUCCAGCCAUGCCGCGUGUGUGAAGAAGGCCCUCGGGUUGUAAAGCACUUUCAGUGGGGAAGAACGCCUGGUGGUUAAUACCCAUCAGGAAAGACAUCACUCACAGAAGAAGCACCGUCUAACUCCGUGCCAGCAGCCGCGGUAAUACGGAGGGUGCGAGCGUUAAUCGGAAUUACUGGGCGUAAAGCGCGCGUAGGUGGCUUGAUAAGCCGGUUGUGAAAGCCCCGGGCUCAACCUGGGAACGGCAUCCGGAACUGUCAAGCUAGAGUGCAGGAGAGGAAGGUAGAAUUCCCGGUGUAGCGGUGAAAUGCGUAGAGAUCGGGAGGAAUACCAGUGGCGAAGGCGGCCUUCUGGACUGAAACUGACACUGAGGUGCGAAAGCGUGGGUAGCAAACAGGAUUAGAUACCCUAGUAGUC
rnacentral:rRNA from 1 species